UACUCCUACGGGAGGCAGCAGUAGGGAAUCUUCGGCAAUGGACGGAAGUCUGACCGAGCAACGCCGCGUGAGUGAAGAAGGUUUUCGGAUCGUAAAGCUCUGUUGUAAGAGAAGAACGAGUAUGAGAGUGGAAAGUUCACACUGUGACGGUAUCUUACCAGAAAGGGACGGCUAACUACGUGCCAGCAGCCGCGGUAAUACGUAGGUCCCGAGCGUUGUCCGGAUUUAUUGGGCGUAAAGCGAGCGCAGGCGGUUAGAUAAGUCUGAAGUUAAAGGCUGUGGCUUAACCAUAGUACGCUUUGGAAACUGUUUAACUUGAGUGCAAGAGGGGAGAGUGGAAUUCCAUGUGUAGCGGUGAAAUGCGUAGAUAUAUGGAGGAACACCGGUGGCGAAAGCGGCUCUCUGGCUUGUAACUGACGCUGAGGCUCGAAAGCGUGGGGAGCAAACAGGAUUAGAUACCCUGGUAGUCCACGCCGUAAACGAUGAGUGCUAGGUGUUAGACCCUUUCCGGGGUUUAGUGCCGCAGCUAACGCAUUAAGCACUCCGCCUGGGGAGUACGACCGCAAGGUUGAAACUCAAAGGAAUUGACGGA
rnacentral:rRNA from 1 species